AGCCUCCUGAAUCUGUGCCGAGAUCUCGUCAGACUCUAGUUCAUUAAAACCGAUGAGGCUUUCAAGAUAAAUAAAGUC
rfam:Schistosoma mansoni, Puerto Rico, WGS project CABG01000000 data, contig: 0041